rnacentral:rRNA from 1 species
AGAGUUUGAUCCUGGCUCAGGAUGAACGCUAGCGGCAGGCCUAAUACAUGCAAGUCGAACGAGAUUAAGGGGCUUGCUCCUUAUGAAAGUGGCGCACGGGUGCGUAACGCGUAUGCAACCUACCUUAAUCAGGGGGAUAGCCCGAAGAAAUUCGGAUUAACACCGCAUAAAAACACAGAGCAGCAUUGCUCAAUGUUCAAAUAUUUAUAGGAUUAAGAUGGGCAUGCGUGUCAUUAGCUAGUUGGCGGGGUAACGGCCCACCAAGGCGACGAUGACUAGGGGAUCUGAGAGGAUGACCCCCCACACUGGUACUGAGACACGGACCAGACUCCUACGGGAGGCAGCAGUAAGGAAUAUUGGUCAAUGGAGGGAACUCUGAACCAGCCAUGCCGCGUGCAGGAAGACGGCCCUCUGGGUUGUAAACUGCUUUUAUUCGGGAAUAAACCACAUUACGAGUAGUGUGCUGAAUGUACCGAAGGAAUAAGGAUCGGCUAACUCCGUGCCAGCCGCCGCGGUAAUUC